rnacentral:rRNA from 1 species
UACGUAGGCAGCGAGCGUUGUUCGGAAUUACUGGGCGUAAAGAGUGUGUAGGCGGUGCUCUAAGUUCGGUGUGAAAUCUCCCGGCUUAACUGGGAGGGUGCGCCGGAAACUGGAGUGCUCGAGCGUGGGAGAGGAAAGCGGAAUUCCAGGUGUAGCGGUGAAAUGCGUAGAUAUCUGGAGGAACACCGGUGGCGAAGGCGGCAUCCUGGACCAACACUGACGCUGAGGAGCGAAAGCCAGGGGAGCAAACGGG